CAUGUCUGUAGUCUCAGGGUUGUGGAGGUAGAGACAGGAGGGUGUCUCGGCUUCUUUAACCAGCCAGUCUACAGAAUUAGUAAG
rnacentral:misc_RNA from 1 species